AAGAACCUGGCACAUGGUAGCUGUUCAAUAAAAGGUAUUACUGUUACCAUUUAUGUCCUUUCCCAAAGACACUAUUUCUGAUUUUGCAGCCCAUCUCUCAUCUCUAGAUUCUCUAUUCUUUCUUGACUUUCCAUCUUAAUUUAAGGGACCCAACCAAGACUGAAGGAAAAUAUGACCAAACUCUACCAGGAGGGAACACUUUAUAGAUGAUACCACCCUUUUCCCUCUUUUAGAAAAUGGUUCCAAGCUUGGAAGCUUUCUAUUAAGCCAAACCCUCUUUUGCUCACAUGUAGUGCUCCAUCAAACUCUUGCCAAAGAUUUGUUGAUGUGCCCAGGAUGGUGAAUUGUUCAAACACAAAGCAAUUUCCACUUGAGAACUGCUUAUUGCUUUCUCCUCAUCUUUUUUUUUUCCUUCUUCAGCCACCCCCAACAGCAUAUAGAAGUUCCUGGGCCAGGGAUCUGGACCUGGGACCUACGACCCAACUGCAACAACACCAGAUCCUUAACCCACUGAGCCACAACAGGAACUCCUCCUCACCUCUUUUGAAUACUUUGUUAUUUUCAUUGACUAAAAUAAUACUCAAUAGUAUAUGCUACAGUAAAAAACUUUUCAAAAAAUACGGAAUUUAUAAAAUACAAGUCAAAUGCACAUCAUCUUCAUUUUCCUCUCAUUUCUCUUUGGCAAAUGGUAUUAACACCAUGGUGAGUAUCUGUCUAGAUUCUUCUUUCUAAAUCAGCAUUUUCCUCCAUAAAGGAUCAGAGACAAACAAGCCUAAGGGAUAUUCGUCUGGUCUGGAAAAACACAGUGUCCCUGUGCACCAUAAUACCUUUGUACUUUAGUAAAGAACAGCAGCUGUGUGUACCAUAAAGAUUCCCCAUGACCCAGAAACGAAACAAUUAUUACCUGAAACCUUUAGAACCUGCAUUGCUAACUAGUUGACUAUCACACACUCUCCUUAGGGUGGCAGCUUGCUUUCUGAUAAGCUACGAGGUCCAUACCAGAUCAUGCCCAGCCUGGUGGAUGCCUGGAAGUGCUGCCUCUCCGGUUCCACCUUUACAGAGAGUAGCUGGCAGGGCUGAGCAGAGUAGUCAUCCAAGACCCUAAGAGGGCACACACCCGCCCACUCCCCUGAGUGUUUCUGCCUCUCCCACCACCCCUGGUGAGGGGAGAGAUGGACAGAAAAGAGAAGCUUGGGGGUUGCACUUACAGGUUCACUUCUACAUGGCCAGGAGCAGUUCCUGAGGCUUGCCUUUGACUGAGGUCCCUCAAGGAUACUGUAAGAUAUUUAUCCCUGUGCCAAGCUCCUACCAGAGUGGCCUUGGCUUUUCAACACUUCAGGUCUCUAAACAACAACCUCUUUGUUGUUUAGAGACCUGAAGUGUUUAACAACAACAACAACAAAACCCACCAAUGGCUAUCACCUAGGUAACAGCAACAGGCACACUCUUAAGCACUUCCCUGACAUUACCUCAUAGACUCUUCACCACAGCUCUAAGCAGGAGGUACCCUUUGAACCUUCAUGUUAACUGAGGUACAGGGAGGUCAAGUGACCUGCCUAAGGUCACACAGCCAGGAAGAUACAGUGUGGGGAUUUAAUGCCCAACACCCAGGCUUGGGCCUUCUCUGAGUGGACAUUCCAAAGUUCCCAAACAUUGUGGUGAGCUGUAGUGUAGUUCGCAGAUGCUGCUUGGAUCCCACGUUGCUGUGGCUCUGGCGUAGGCUGGCGGCUACAUCUCUGAUUUGACCCCCAGCCUGGGAACCUCCAUAUACCACGGGAGCAGCCCUAGAAAAGGCAAAAAUCAUAAAAAAUAAAAUUAAAUAAAUAAUUAAAAAAUAAAAAAAUGAGAGAAAUUUAAAAAUUAAACUAUUGGUGUUUCCCUGGUGGUUCAGUAGUAACAAACAUGCCUAGCAUCCAUGAAGACUCCUGUAUCAUCCCUGGCCUCAUUAAGUGGAUCAGGAAUCUGGCAUUGCCCGGAGCUGUGGUAUAGGUCAUGGAUGCAAUUCAAAUCCCCCAUUGCUGUGGCUGUGGUGUAGGCUGGCAGCUGCAGCUCCAUUGGAACCGUAGCCUGGGAACUUUCAUAUGCUGUGGG
rnacentral:lncRNA from 1 species